UACGUAGGGUGCGAGCGUUGUCCGGAAUUACUGGGCGUAAAGAGCUCGUAGGCGGUGUGUCGCGUCGGCCGUGAAAACCUGCAGCUUAACUGUGGGCUUGCGGUCGAUACGGGCAUCACUGGAGUUCGGCAGGGGAGACUGGAAUUCCUGGUGUAGCGGUGAAAUGCGCAGAUAUCAGGAGGAACACCGGUGGCGAAGGCGAGUCUCUGGGCCGAUACUGACGCUGAGGAGCGAAAGCGUGGGGAGCGAACAGG
rnacentral:rRNA from 1 species